rnacentral:rRNA from 1 species
GACGAACGCUGGCGGCGUGCUUAACACAUGCAAGUCGAACGGUAAGGCCCUUCGGGGUACACGAGUGGCGAACGGGUGAGUAACACGUGGGUGAUCUGCCCUGCACUUCGGGAUAAGCCUGGGAAACUGGGUCUAAUACCGACGAGGACCACUGCCUGCAUGGGUGGUGGGGGAAAGAUUUUGCGGUGUGGGAUGGGCCCGCGGCCUAUCGGCUUGUUGGUGGGGUGAGGGCCUACCAAGGGGACGACGGGUAGCCGGCCUGAGAGGGUGACCGGCCACACUGGGACUGAGAUACGGCCCAGACUCCUACGGGAGGCAGCAGUGGGGAAUAUUGCACAAUGGGCGCAAGCCUGAUGCAGCGACGCCGCGUGAGGGAUGACGGCCUUCGGGUUGUAAACCUCUUUCAGCACCGACGAAGCGCAAGUGACGGUAGGUGCAGAAGAAGGACCGGCCAACUACGUGCCAGCCGCCGCCGUAA